ensembl:lincRNA
AUGUCCCAAGGCUUGGUUGGGGUGGAAGAGGCAGGCAGCGGGGAGCCGUGUAAAGAAUCUGACCACCAGGUGGCGCUGGGCAACCGGCCGGCGGCUUGCUGCUUCUACAGCUACAGUAUGGCAGCGAGGUGGUCUUGGAGCCUGUGUCAGUCUGCCAUCUGGCCCCAAAGAGAAGGGCCUCCUUGCAGCAGUCCAAGGGAAAGGCGGAAGAUGAAGACUCACCCUGACAGGACAUCUCCAGAUUUGGCCCUCUUAUACUGCGAAACCACGUAA